rnacentral:rRNA from 1 species
UACAGAGGGUGCGAGCGUUGUUCGGAAUUAUUGGGCGUAAAGCGCGCGUAGGCGGGAUGGCAAGUCGGGUGUGAAAGCCCUCAGCUCAACUGAGGAAGUGCGCCCGAAACUACUGUUCUUGAGUGUCGGAGAGGGUGGCGGAAUUCCCGGUGUAGAGGUGAAAUUCGUAGAUAUCGGGAGGAACACCAGUGGCGAAGGCGGCUCGCUGGACAAGUAUUGACGCUGAGGUGCGAAAGCGUGGGGAGCAAACAGG